AUUGAACGCUGGCGGCAUGCCUUACACAUGCAAGUCGAACGGUAACGGGCCUUCGGGUGCCGACGAGUGGCGAACGGGUGAGUAAUACAUCGGAACGUGCCCGAUCGUGGGGGAUAACGAGGCGAAAGCUUUGCUAAAUACCGCAUACGAUCUACGGAUGAAAGCAGGGGACCGCAAGGCCUUGCGCGGACGGAGCGGCCGAUGGCAGAUUAGGUAGUUGGUGGGAUAAAAGCUUACCAAGCCGACGAUCUGUAGCUGGUCUGAGAGGAUGAUCAGCCACACUGGGACUGAGACACGGCCCAGACUCCUACGGGAGGCAGCAGUGGGGAAUUUUGGACAAUGGGCGCAAGCCUGAUCCAGCCAUGCCGCGUGCAGGAUGAAGGCCUUCGGGUUGUAAACUGCUUUUGUACGGAACGAAAAGCCUUCUUUUAAUACAGGAGGGUCAUGACGGUACCGUAAGAAUAAGCACCGGCUAACUACGUG
rnacentral:rRNA from 1 species